GAAGCUGACCAGACAGUCGCCGCUUCGUCGUCGUCCUUUCGGGGAGACGGGCGGAGGGGAGGAAAGUCCGGGCUCCAUAGGGCAGGGUGCCAGGUAACGCCUGGGGGGGAAACCCACGACCAGUGCAACAGAGAGCAGACCGCCGAUGGCCCACGUAAGUGGGAUCAGGUAAGGGUGAAAGGGUGCGGUAAGAGCGCACCGCGCGGCUGGUAACAGUCCGUGGCACGGUAAACUCCACCCGGAGCAAGGCCAAAUAGGGGUUCAUAAGGUACGGCCCGUACUGAACCCGGGUAGGCUGCUUGAGCCAGUGAGCGAUUGCUGGCCUAGAUGAAUGACUGUCCACGACAGAACCCGGCUUAUCGGUCAGUUUCACU
rnacentral:RNase_P_RNA from 1 species